rnacentral:rRNA from 1 species
UACGGAGGGUGCAAGCGUUGUCCGGAAUCACUGGGCGUAAAGGGCGCGUAGGCGGCUCGGUAAGUAGGGGGUGAAAUCCUGCGGCUUAACCGCAGGGCUGCCUUCUAAACUGUCGAGCUUGAGCACGGUAGAGGCAGAUGGAAUUCCCGGUGUAGCGGUGGAAUGCGUAGAGAUCGGGAAGAACACCGGUGGCGAAGGCGGCCUGCUGGGCAGUGGCUGACGCUGAGGCGCGACAGCGUGGGGAGCAAACAGG